rnacentral:rRNA from 14 species
GCUAGUAAUCGUAGAUCAGAAUGCUACGGUGAAUACGUUCCCGGGCCUUGUACACACCGCCCGUCACACCAUGGGAGUGGGUUGCAAAAGAAGUGGGUAGCAUAACCUUCGGGAGUGCGCUCACCACUUUGUGAUUCAUGACUGGGGUGAAGUCGUAACAAGGUAGCCGUAGGGGAACCUGCGGCUGGAUCACCUCCUU